AUUGAACGCUGGCGGCAUGCCUUACACAUGCAAGUCGAACGGUAACAGGUCUUCGGAUGCUGACGAGUGGCGAACGGGUGAGUAAUACAUCGGAACGUGCCUAGUAGUGGGGGAUAACUACUCGAAAGAGUGGCUAAUACCGCAUGAGAUCUACGGAUGAAAGCAGGGGAUCGCAAGACCUUGUGCUACUAUAGCGGCCGAUGGCAGAUUAGGUAGUUGGUGGGAUAAAAGCUUACCAAGCCGACGAUCUGUAGCUGGUCUGAGAGGACGAUCAGCCACACUGGGACUGAGACACGGCCCAGACUCCUACGGGAGGCAGCAGUGGGGAAUUUUGGACAAUGGGCGAAAGCCUGAUCCAGCAAUGCCGCGUGCAGGAUGAAGGCCUUCGGGUUGUAAACUGCUUUUGUACGGAACGAAAAGCCCCGGGUUAAUACCCUGGGGUCAUGACGGUACCGUAAGAAUAAGCACCGGCUAACUACCUGCCAGCAGCCGCCGUAA
rnacentral:rRNA from 1 species